rnacentral:rRNA from 1 species
AGCGAACGCUGGCGGCAGGCUUAACACAUGCAAGUCGAACGGGCACUUCGGUGCUAGUGGCAGACGGGUGAGUAACACGUGGGAACGUACCUUUCGGUUCGGAAUAAUCCAGGGAAACUUGGACUAAUACCGGAUACGCCCUUCGGGGGAAAGAUUCAUCGCCGAUAGAUCGGCCCGCGUCUGAUUAGCUAGUUGGUGAGGUAAUGGCGCACCAAGGCGACGAUCAGUAGCUGGUCUGAGAGGAUGAUCAGCCACAUUGGGACUGAGACACGGCCCAAACUCCUACGGGAGGCAGCAGUGGGGAAUAUUGGACAAUGGGCGCAAGCCUGAUCCAGCCAUGCCGCGUGAGUGAUGAAGGCCUUAGGGUUGUAAAGCUCUUUUGUCCGGGAAGAUAAUGACUGUACCGGAAGAAUAAGCCCCGGCUAACUUCGUG